GACGAACGCUGGCGGCGUGCUUAACACAUGCAAGUCGAACGGAAAGGCCCUGCUUUUGUGUUUUGCUCGAGUUGCGAACGGGUGAGUAACACGUGAGUAACCUGCCCUUGACUUUGUGAUAACUUCAGGAAACUGGGGCUAAUACCUUAUAGGAGCUCCUGCUUCAUGGUGGGGGUUGGAAAGUUUCGGCGGUUGGGGAUGGACUCGCGGCUUAUCAGCUUGUUGGUGGGGUAGUGUCUUACCAAGGCUUUGACGGGUAGCCGGCCUGCGAGGGUGACCGGCCCCAUUGGGACUGAGAUACGGCCAAGACUCCUACGGGAGGCAGAAGUGGGGAAUAUUGCACAAUGGGCGGAAGCCUGAUGCAGCAACGCCGCGUGCGGGAUGACGGCAUUCGGGUUGUAAACCGCUUUCGCCUGUGACGAAGCGUGAGUGACGGUAAUGGGUAAAGAAGCACCGGCUAACUACGUG
rnacentral:rRNA from 1 species